rnacentral:rRNA from 1 species
AUUGAACGCUGGCGGCGUGCUUAACACAUGCAAGUCGAUCGGUAACACGGGGGCAACCCUGGCGACGAGAGGCGGACGGGUGAGGAACGCUUGGGAAUCUGCCUAUCAGCGGGGGACAACACGGGGAAACUCGUGCUAAUACCGCAUACGCUCUACGGAGGAAAGCCGGGGACCGCAAGGCCUGGCACUGAUAGAUGAGCCCAAGCCGGAUUAGCUAGUUGGCGGGGUAACGGCCCGCCAAGGCGACGAUCCGUAGCUGGUCUGAGAGGACGAUCAGCCACACUGGGACUGAGACACGGCCCAGACUCCUACGGGAGGCAGCAGUGGGGAAUAUUGGACAAUGGGGGAAACCCUGAUCCAGCGACGCCGCGUGGGUGAAGAAGGCCUGCGGGUUGUAAAGCCCUUUCGGUAGGGACGAAAGCUCUCGACCUAACACGUCGGGAGGUUGACUUAACCUACAAAAGAAGCACCGGCUAACUCUGUGCCAGCAGCCGCAGUAAAAC